AAAGCCUUUUAGGUGGUCCUGAUGUCCACGGUGAUGAUCCCGUUGUCAUUAAACGACAGAUAAAAAAGCAAAUACCUUCAUUGGCACAAGCAAAAUAUUCAACCUUUUUCUCAAAGACAAAGAAUGUCCAGAAGAUGACUGAGAUGGGUCACUAUAUGGAUGUCAGUGUUCAGCCUGCAAGAAAACAAAAGUCCCUUAAAGAAGUGACUCUGUCUGCAGACGGAGCAGAGGAUAGACCUCUCCAAAAGAUGGUGCGCGUGAUCCGAGGUGACAGCCUCUGCUCCUCCGAUACAUCCUAUGACUCUUCACCCAUCAGCUC